CUUAAUUAAUAAAAAGUAUGUGUAUCGGCAAUACUGGCCCUGUAUUUACUUACUAUCAGAUGGAUACCAAAUGCUGCAGUAUCGCACACCACUACAACAUACAUCCAUGCCAUUGGACUGCAAGUCUUUAAUAACAAAAGAAACCCUCCAUACAAAAGUAUCUGUACAUGGUCACUUACUGAACUGUAUAGCAUUUUAUGGAAAUGAUUUAACAUGGUU